CCAGAAUACAUAUGGUCUGAUGGAGUUGUGGGACCAGACACCUACUGGACAAGUAGAGAGUUCCUUGCCUGGCUUUACAAUGAAAGGUAAACUUCAGAAUCAUAAAUGGGAAAAUGUUAUGACUGUGGACAAGUUGUCUUAGGGCUACAGACGAAAUGCAGACAUUAUGGAUUAUCUGACCAUUGAGGAGUUGUUAUAUCAGCUUGUAUCGACGGUCAGAUGGAAGGAUAAUACCCGCAUUUGAGGAGCGUCUGCUGCAGAUGGGACAAUGGCUGUCUGUGAACGGUGAAGCUAUUUAUAGC